rnacentral:rRNA from 1 species
GACGAACGCUGGCGGCGUGCUUAACACAUGCAAGUCGAACGGAAAGGCCCUGCCUUUGUGGGGUGCUCGAGUGGCGAACGGGUGAGUAACACGUGAGUAACCUGCCCUUGACUUUGGGAUAACUUCAGGCAACUGGGGCUAAUACCGGAUAGGAGCUCCUGCUGCAUGGUGGGGGUUGGAAAGUUUCGGCGGUUGGGGAUGGACUCGCGGCUUAUCAGCUUGUUGGUGGGGUAGUGGCUUACCAAGGCUUUGACGGGUAGCCGGCCUGAGAGGGUGACCGGCCACAUUGGGACUGAGAUACGGCCCAGACUCCUACGGGAGGCAGCAGUGGAGAAGAUUGCACAAUGGGCGGAAGCCUAAUGCAGCAACGCCGCGUGCGGUAUGACGGCCAGCGGGUUGUAAACCGCAUUCGCCUGUGACGAAGCGUGAGUGACGGUAAUGGGUAAAGAAGCACCGGCUAACUACGUG